GCCUGGGUGGCUCAGUCGGUUAAGCGUCUGACUUCCGCUCAGGUCACGUUCUUGCAGUUCGGGAGUUCAAGCCUCACGUCGGGCU
rnacentral:tRNA from 1 species